GGUGGAGAUGUAACCAGGGGAGCGUGGGCAACAUCCAACUCUCCCCGUUUGCGGCGGGGAGAACCUUGGAGGAUGGACCCGUUAGAAGCAUAAAUGGACUGCGCCGACGGGGACGUCACGAUGCGUCGUCGCCACAAAGCUCAUGAACGCGCUCAUUUGGCGACCAGCAUGCCGCACACCCAGAGGGACCACCGCUCACCAGGGGACCCCAUACAAGCCCACCAUCGCUGCAGCACACGGAGAGGGAAAAAACUGAAGAAUCAAGACAUCCUUUAACCUCCAGAUGCAUCGAGAGGUGUUGUUUUUAUCCCAUCUGAAGAGCUGUAUCCAAAGGCCUGAGGGGUUGUCUGUUAUCUUUGGUUAUCUAGCUGUAUGAGUGACGUACAUUCUUCAUAAAGCUAGAUAACCGAAAGUAACAAGAAUCCCAUUACACGCAUGCACUGGAAAAAGGAAAACAACAUGGAAAAUAGUCCAGUCGAAGAGCAGUAGCAGAUAGGGCUGGAACUGGACGACAGCUGCUGCUAACCAAUGAUGUGAAGGUUUCAGAUGCGCAGAAGAGGAUUUUGACUGAGCCACUGACAUCACUUUCACAAAGGUGUUUAAGGUGUUUAAACUACAAUGAUUAACCUGUUUCAAGGAUCUCAAACACAACAACGCAGAGGCAAUGCAGUGGGCAAUGAAUACAGAAGAUGCUAUCUGAACGAUAUACCGAACAUUGGAAAGCUGAAAGACACACGGAUGGAUUUUGCAAGCAAACAUUGCAAGCUCGAUUCUGAGAAGCUGCUCUGCACAUCUGUUCAGGAAACAUCUGCACUAGAUUUUAAUGUAGGUCAGAGCUCAGAUCAACAAUCUCUCUUACAGGCACACAAACAAAAAACAGAAAAUUGAGCUGAGACAUCAAUCACAUUUAUGCAUUUUCAUGUAGAAAAGUGGAAAUAGUGACGAAAUUAGGGAAUGUCAGUAGCAUAUUUACAAUAGACAAUUUAAAACAUUUUGUUUUAAUUUUUGAUUGAGUCUUUUAUUAGUGUUUGUUUUUUAUUUAGUGAUACAUUUUGUCUUGUUUGAAUCUGAAUGUCUCAGUGUGUUGACAAUCUUAGGACUCAUUGAUGAAUCACCUAUAACUAACUGCAGUGUCAAAUGCUUUUUAACAUUUUAUUUUAUUAAUGCAUUCUUUAGGAUGGUUUAAUGUUUAUUUUUGUUUUUAGCAUAGCAUUUCUUUUUAGAUAUCCUGCAGUCUAUUUUUAUUUUAAUAACUGAAGCACUUUAAAAAUGAUUUAAAGGAUUUUGAAUGUGCAUCAUUAUCAUAAGACUGGAGCAACCUCAGCAGUCUUUUACAAUCUGUGUUUGUGUUGCACACUUACUCUGCAGGGAUUUUAGUUUUGUGCCUAACAUUGAAUUUACCUAUGCAAGAAGAAUAAAGUAAGAUGCUGUCAAAUUUGAUAGAUUCUGUACUAGUUUUUGCUUAGAAGAGUUUGUACUAAGCUUUUAGAUUAGCACUUGAGAGGAUAAAUGUUCAGGCUUGUUUUAUAUUAGUAGCACAUUAAACAGAGACGUGUUACUAACAUACAAUGACAUGCGCUUUAUGAGCACAAGGCAAUGUGAAAGGAAAGGGAUUUUAAAGGAGAAUCUGUAGGAUUUUUAUUACUUCAAACACUUUUUUCUCUACGAAAAUGUAUUAAUUACUGCUGGUGACAAUUGUUAAAAGGUUUUGUUAUAAUGUAAUGUAAACUUAUGUGAAUGCACUGUGAACAACUGUCUCUUUGGAGUUUCAGAAGUUCAGUUUGCACAUAACCUAAUAUGUACUAUGCAGCUUUCUAUAACAUAAAUCAAUAAAAUAAUUAGUGUGAAAUUU